rnacentral:rRNA from 1 species
ACUCCUACGGGAGGCAGCAGUGGGGAAUAUUGGACAAUGGGCGCAAGCCUGAUCCAGCCAUGCCGCGUGAGUGAUGAAGGCCCUAGGGUUGUAAAGCUCUUUCACCGGUGAAGAUAAUGACGGUAACCGGAGAAGAAGCCCCGGCUAACUUCGUGCCAGCAGCCGCGGUAAUACGAAGGGGGCUAGCGUUGUUCGGAUUUACUGGGCGUAAAGCGCACGUAGGCGGACUAUUAAGUCAGGGGUGAAAUCCCGGGGCUCAACCCCGGAACUGCCUUUGAUACUGGUAGUCUUGAGUUCGAGAGAGGUGAGUGGAAUUCCGAGUGUAGAGGUGAAAUUCGUAGAUAUUCGGAGGAACACCAGUGGCGAAGGCGGCUCACUGGCUCGAUACUGACGCUGAGGUGCGAAAGCGUGGGGAGCAAACAGGAUUAGAAACCCUAGUAGUCCCAUGA